AUGCCUACGGGAGGCAGCAGUGGGGAAUAUUGCACAAUGGGGGGAACCCUGAUGCAGCGACGCCGCGUGGGUGAGGAAGUACUUCGGUAUGUAAAGCCCUAUCAGCAGGGAAGAAAAUGACGGUACCUGACUAAGAAGCCCCGGCUAACUACGUGCCAGCGGCCGCGGUAAUACGUAGGGGGCAAGCGUUAUCCGGAUUUACUGGGUGUAAAGGGAGCGUAGACGGCGAUGCAAGUCUGAAGUGAAAGCCCGGGGCUCAACCCCGGGACUGCUUUGGAAACUGUAUGGCUGGAGUGCUGGAGAGG
rnacentral:rRNA from 1 species